rnacentral:misc_RNA from 1 species
CGCACCUUGCGCCUCUUGGUAUUCCGAGAGGCAUGCCUGUUUGAGUGUCAUUAAAUUCUCAACUUCAAAAGCCUUGUCUUUUUGAAGCUUGGAUGUGAAGGCUUGCUGGCGUUUCUAAUAAUGUCCAGCUCCUUUGAAAAGCAUUAGUGGACCCGUUUGUGUUCAUCCUUAGUGUGAUAAUUAUCUACGCUGUGGCUUUGAAUGCAUGCUCAUUAGAAUCUUCGAGCUGUUGUUUUUACUACUACAGUCUCGGUGUGGAGAGUUGCAUGAAUUUGCUCUUUCUGUCUCUCUUGAGUCAGGAUUGUCUGCUUCAAACAGUCUACAUAUUGCAGACAAUUUUUUGAACCAUUUGACCUCAAAUCAGGUAGGAUUACCCGCUGAACUUAA